UGUGGAUAGUUGGGAUGGCCCAGUAGUGU
rnacentral:piRNA from 1 species